rnacentral:rRNA from 1 species
AGGACGAACGCUGGCGGCGUGCCUAACACAUGCAAGUCGAACGGGGCCCGCAAGGGUUCAGUGGCGAACGGGUGCGUAACACGUGAAGAAUUUGUCCAACGGCGGGGGAUAGCCGGCCCAACGGCCGGGUAAUACCGCGUACGACCUUCGAGGGGCAUCCCUUGAUGGUGAAAGCCGCAAGGCGCCGAUGGAGAACUUCGCGGCCUAUCAGCUAGUUGGUGAGGUCAUGGCUCACCAAGGCGACGACGGGUAGCUGGUCCGAGAGGAUGACCAGCCACAUUGGGACUGAGACACGGCCCAGACUCCUACGGGAGGCAGCAGUGGGGAAUAUUGCGCAAUGGGCGAAAGCCUGACGCAGCGACGCCGCGUGUGGGAUGACGGCCUUCGGGUUGUAACCACUGUCGGGAGGGACGAGAUCUGACGGUACCUCCAAAGGAAGCACCGGCUAACUCUGUGCCAGCAGCCGC